rnacentral:rRNA from 1 species
UGGCCCAUCAAGAAGAACUUUACCUUUUCACUCCAAUUUACAUAAUUUUCGCCAUGUUGGAGUGAACGGCACACAAUCGACAAGCCAGACAUUAUUUCCUAAUGCAAAAAAAAAAAGAAAUGGAUCCGCUUUUUACUAUCCAUAAAGGCUUGAACACAUCGCUUUUCCGACUCCUUAUUAUAUGAGACGAAGGACCCCUGGCGCAGAAGGGUUCUCAACGAGAGAAGGGUACAGUAGCUCGUAUCGAAUAGUAUUCACGAGAUGUGAAUCUCACUAAAGCACUUCGAAUCAAGAUCUUCAUCAACAUUCCUCGUGAUCUUGCUAAUUUUCGUAGACAACCCUGGAACUAGAACUGAUUCCGUCUCGUUCCGCCUACCCAUCCGCGUAACAUCUUCCUUCAGCUAGCCCUCCUGAUCUAAUAAGAAGAUGUCUGAUCGCUUACCCUCUCCUCUUCUUCUGCUAGACAUCAUUGAGCACUCCCGGAUGUAACACAUAUGCCUUCUCGUAGAGCACUCCCAGAAGCUACACGAUCAGACUUCAGGGUAGCAUCAGGGUAACGAAGUAGCUCGACUCUCUGAGGAGAGGGCUAAAAGGGCUCGACUGAAAGGAGAGGAAAGGAAAAAAGGCAGCAUAUUCAUAUUAAAUGAAAUAAUAAAGACGCAAAGACGAAGACGAUAGUUGAUCUUGCAGCUGCGUUUUCGUCUGCUAACCCUUGAGAAAACGAACUCUCCACUCCCUUUUAUGGGGACUUUUGUUGAGGCCUUCGGGUUACAUAAAAAUAGUCAUAUAAUGAGCUCAUGGGAUAUAUGCUUAACACAUGCCAGUCGAUGGUUGUUUUCGGCGAUGUUAUGACUAUAGCUUCCGUCCCGUCUGGGUGGUGCCUUUUCUCACGAAGAAAGGAGAAUGAAAUUUCUUACCACCCCUCGAUCAGCUAAUAGAGGGCACGGAUCGUUAGCUCCUGCACACACACGUGGUACUGACUUGGCCUAACCCGCCUAACCGAGACUAUUCCUCGAAGAGUGGUGAUCCGCUUAAACAAAGAGGUUGGUUCAGUACGCUCCCCGCCUAGCCCAUCAUCCCUAACGAACGGCAAGAGCGGAUCCUUUUUCUCGAGCAAAGCCAGACGGAACAGAGGCUAAGCAAGCUGAAGCAUGAAGUUCACCGCUGACAGUUCAAGUAGUAGUGUUCCACUGUUCGAUAGUGAAGCGAUCUCGUACUAAACGAAACUACUUUCACUUCAAUGGGAUAGACAGGGAUCGAACCUGCCAUGAGCCUUGCAAACUCUAUCCCCCAAUCCAAUGUUGAUCAAUAGUGAAAUCUAAUAACAUGUCGUAUAGUUGCUGUAAGAAAGAGCAAAAGCAAGGAAGAAGCUCUUACUCACUUAAGGGUAAGGCGCUAAUGCCACUAGCUUGCUGGCUUGUUAGAGCAGCUAGACUGGCACUAGCUCCUAGCCUUUUUUCAGCUGUAUCCUGUGAUCUGAAAAGUGCUGUCGGAAGAUAGCAUGAUACCCUUGCCUGGACUUUCUUUUAUAU